rnacentral:lncRNA from 1 species
AGUCAUCUUGAUGAGAACAUUACCGGUUAACCGGAGUAAACCGUCAUUAGUUAGGUUGAAGAUAAAAUUGAGUUCAUGCUAUCUUUGCUUAUCCUAUUUUAGUGGGAUUGCAUUUCCAUUCUCACGUUUCUUAACUGUAGCUUUAGUGGUUAGUUUCUUUAUUUUCUUUUGGUGUAUUUAAACAUCAUCGAUCAUCUAUUGAAGAGAG